GGGGAUUUGGCUCAGUGGUAGAGCGCUUGCCUAGCAAGCACAAGGCCCUGGGUUCGGUCCCCAGCUCG
rfam:Rattus norvegicus chromosome 5, whole genome shotgun sequence.